rnacentral:tRNA from 1 species
UCCCUAGUGGCUCAGACAGUAAAGAAUCUGCCUGCAAUGCAGGAGAUCCAGGUUCAAUCCCUGGGUCAGGAA